rnacentral:rRNA from 1 species
AUUGAACGCUAGCGGGAUGCUUUACACAUGCAAGUCGCACGAGUGGCGUACGGGUGAGUAAUAUAUCGGCACGUGCCCAGUAGCUGGGGAUCACUACUCGAAAGAGUUGCUAAUACCGCAUUCUUUUGGAGCGGCCGAUAUCGGAUUAGCUAGUGGGUGGGGUAAAGGCUCACCAAGGCCACGAUCCGUAGCUGGUUUGAGAGGACGACCAGCCAAACUGGGACUGAGAAACGGACCAGACUCCUACGGGAGGCAGCAGUGGGGAAUUUUGGACAAUGGGGGAAACCCUGAUCCAGCCAUCCCGCGUGUAUGAGAAGGCCUUCGGGUUGUAAAGUACUUUUGGCAGAGAAGCGGUAUCUGCAGAAUAAGCACCGGCUAACUACGUGCCAGCAGCCGCGGUAAUAC